AGGGAGGGACAAACACAGGAUGACUCAUUUCUCUUACACUGAGAGAAAAGCUGAAUUAACUGUUUUUGUCAGCCUGACACAGUUCUGCUGUGGACAUCCUCAAAUGUCUGAGAGAUGCCUAGGUGAUUGUGAGAAGAUUCCCAGUGACCCUGGGCUGAUUGCUUAAGGAUACGCUAAGCAGGGAAGACUCAGGCUGAUUCUAAAUAGAAAAUGGAACUGCCCUGGUGGACCUCCAGAACCUGGAUCACCUGUCUUGAUUGGCAAGCUCUUGGGUAGGAAGGACAAGAAUACUCCAGUAUCCUAUUUUACAGGUAACGGGGCCACAGAGACUGGGCCUCUGGGAGCAGAAGACACACAGCAGUGAAGACUAGACCAGGAGCUUCGGCUGCAGCGAGAGACAAAGGCCCCGCCAAAUCCGGAAGCCGUCCUGUCUGCUGUUGCUGCCUGCCUGAUCGGACCGGUCCCAGCCCAGCGUCCCUAAUUGGAUAAUGCCUAGGGCCCCACCCCCUCAGACCCUGAUUGACAGAAGAUGUGCUCAGAUGCUGGGCUGAAUGUAGAGAGAAACCUAAGCCUUUUCAGGCAGAGCUUCCUCCCUAAGCUGACCCAGGCCCUCCCCAGACGGCAUUUGCCUUGUAAGGCAACCCUCUGAAAUAAAAUGUGAACCAUAUGUGAAUUCCAAAUUUUCUACUAGUUAAGAAGAAAGAAGAAACAGGUGAAAUUCAUUCUAACCAUUUAAUAACCCAAUAUAUCCAAAAUAUUAUUUCAGUGUAUGAGCAAUAUGUAAUUAUUAAUGUACUGUACAUAUUCUUGGAACUAAAUCUUUAAAUCUAA